rnacentral:misc_RNA from 1 species
GAAGGCGCUGUCCUCUACACUAUCAUUAAACGUUACGGUACAGAACAACGUCCUAGCGAACCCAAUCAUCUUCACCCUUUCUGGAGUCCUGAUAAAGGCAUGAAUUUCCACUUGCAGGAUCCACCAGUUGUUUCCAAAAAAUGGAAGCCCCCUUUACAUUUGCUGAACAGAGUAAGACUUAGAAUUCUAGCAGAGAAUAAA